rnacentral:rRNA from 1 species
UCACGANGAACUCCAAUUGCGAAGGCAGCUUACUAGGCUACAACUGACGCUGAAGCACGAAAGCGUGGGGAUCAAACAGGAUUAGAUACCCUGGUAGNCCACNCCGUAAACGAUGAAUGCUAGCUGUUAGCGAUAUACUGUUAGCGGCACAGAGAAAUCGUUAAGCAUUCCACCUGGGGAGUACGCCGGCAACGGUGAAACUCAAAGGAAUUGACGGGGGCCCGCACAAGCGGAGGAACAUGUGGUUUAAUUCGAUGAUACGCGAGGAACCUUACCUGGGCUUAAAUUGCAGUGGAAUAACGUGGAAACAUGUUAGCCUUCGGGCCGCUGUGAAGGUGCUGCAUGGUUGUCGUCAGCUCGUGCCGUGAGGUGUCGGCUUAAGUGCCAUAACGAGCGCAACCCUCAUCGAUAGUUACUAACAGGUUAAGCUGAGGACUCUAUCGAGACUGCCGACGUAAGUCGUGAGGAAGGUGGGGAUGACGUCAAAUCAGCACGGCCCUUACGUCCAGGGCUACACACGUGUUACAAUGGGGGGUACAAAGGGCAGCUACCUGGCGACAGGAUGCUAAUCUCAAAAACCUCUCUCAGUUCGAAUUGGAGUCUGCAACCCGACUCCAUGAAGCUGGAUUCGCUAGUAAUCGCGCAUCAGCCACGGCGCGGUGAAUACGUUCCCGGGCCUUGUACACACCGCCCGUCAAGCCAUGGGAGCCGGGGGGACCUGAAGUAUGCAACCGUAAGGAGCGUCCUAGGGUAAAACUGGUGACUGGGGCUAAGUCGUAACAGGUAGCCGU